rnacentral:rRNA from 1 species
UACGGUAGGGGGCGAGCGUUGUCCGGAUUUAUUGGGCGUAAAGAGCUCGUAGGCGGUUUGGCAAGUCGGGUGUGAAAACUCCGGCUCAACUCCGGGAGACGCCACUCGAUACUGCCAUGACUCGAGUCCGGUAGGGGAGUGCGGAAUUCCCGGGUGUAGCGGUGAAAUGCGCAGAUAUCGGGAAGAACACCCGUGGCGAAGGCGGUUCUCUGGGACGGUACUGACGGCUGAGACGCGAAAGCGUGGGGAGCGAACAGG